UAAGCAAAAGCCCGCAGGAUAGGGUGUUUAGCUGUUAACUAAAUUGUUUAUGGGAUCAAGGCCGAUUUGUCUAG
ensembl:Mt_tRNA